GGGGGAUAUUGCACGAUGGAGGAAACUCUGAUGCAGCAACGCCGCGUGAGGGAAGAAGGUCUUCGGAUUGUAAACCUUUGUCCUUGGUGACGAAACAAAUGACGGUAGCCAAGGAGGAAGCUCCGGCUAACUACGUGCCAGCAGCCGCGGUAAUACGUAGGGAGCAAGCGUUGUCCGGAUUUACUGGGUGUAAAGGGUGCGUAGGCGGCUCUGCAAGUCAGGCGUGAAAACUAUGGGCUUAACCCAUAGACUGCGUUUGAAACUGUGGGGCUUGAGUGAAGUAGAGGUAGGCGGAAUUCCCGGUGUAGCGGUGAAAUGCGUAGAGAUCGGGAGGAACACCAGUGGCGAAGGCGGUCUACUGGGCUUUAACUGACGCUGAGGCGCGAAAGCGUGGGGAGCAAAC
rnacentral:rRNA from 1 species